rnacentral:lncRNA from 1 species
GUCAGUGUUGUGGUCUAGAUCGAGAACAGCCCCACGCGCUCAUGGGCCAGGUCUGGGAAGGUGACUGGGUCAGGGGCGCUGCAGCCUUUCUCCUGGGAGAAGGUGGGGCCUGGCUGGGAGAGGCGGUCCCUGGGCUGUGGCCUGGGAGGGUUCUUCUCCCUCCUUGCUCCCCUCACUUCCUGCGCCAGGCCCAUCCCCACCACAUGUGUGUGUAGGCACAGCGAGGACCGACACUUCCGAAGCGCAGCCACAACCCACUCCCCUCCCUUAAGUUGGGCUUCUGGUAUUGUGUCCCAGGAACAAGGAAGUGACGAGGCAGCGACUGGCUGGUGGACAGUGGUUGGGGAUGGCGAUUUGGUCACGUCGUGAGGCGUCAAGAGGCCACUGUCCAGCCUGAGCUGCGCAGAUGAGGGAGGACAGCAGGGCCCAGCCCGCAGUCACUGUCCCUGGCAUGAGGACGCUGCCCCACCAGCUCCAAGUUCUCUCAGUGGAGUCCCAGCCACCAGAGACAGCUCACCAAGGCUACCCUGCUGAGCUUCUAGAACACACCAGUGACGUGAGAUGUGUCACACAGUAGGAGGACAGCGGGCACGCGGUAUCUCACAGUUUGGGGACACCUGGAUGUCUCAGAAGCCACAGUGUCAAAACCAAGGACCCAAGGAAGCAGCAGCUCUCUGGCCUGUCCAGCUCCUCUGCCGCGGGACCAGACAGGAAAUGAAUCCGCUCAAAGUCCCCAUUGGAGAAGCAGGCUAAAGACUUUAGAAAUUCAAAUGAGGCUCUCCGGGGAGAGCAGGGCUUAAACAUUCCCCUGCGCAGCGGCUUUAUUGAAGGAAUAAACUAUAUUUGCAAAGUAAGAUAUUGAGUCUGUCAGUUUCUCUUAGGGUUAUAAUGAGAGCCUAGCAGAGAGGGGGUGCG